rnacentral:sRNA from 1 species
AUGUGAGCUCCUUCUAUGAGGAAUACCUUUCAGUUAUCCUCGCCAACAAUGGAAGUUUGCAGAUUAGGUACAAGCUAGAUAGACAUCAAAAUCCUGAUGCAUUUACCUUUGAUUUUAAAAACAUGGCUGAUGGGCAGCUUCACCAAGUGAAGAUUAACAGAGAAGAAGCUGUGGUCAUGGUAGAGGUUCACCAGAGCGCGAAGAAACAAGUCAUCUUGUCCUCAGGGACAGAAUUCAACGCCGUCAAAUCUCUCAUAUUGGGAAAGGUUUUAGGUCGUUCUGGACCAGCGGAUGAGGGAGAGCCCUUGGUUAAUGCAGACAGAAGAGACUCUGCUGUCAUCGGAGGUAACAAGGCCCUGAAUGACCUGGUGCUUGUCAUUAUCGCUUUAGAUAAUGAUACCAUUACUUAGCACAAUGGGAAAUAUAUGUGUGAUAGCAGUGGUGAUAUUUAUUUUGCUUUGCAUCACUGCCAUAGCCAUACGCAUCUAUCAACAGAGAAAGUUACGCAAAGAAAAUGAGUCAAAAGUCUCAAAAAAAGAAGAGUGCUAGGACAGCUCUAAACAGUGAGCUCAAUGUGCAAAACGCAGUCCAUGAAAACCAGAAAGAGCGAGUCUUCUGAUUGGCAGCUGUGGCUGUCUCUAUCACCGUGACUGUGGACUUGCCUGCUGUUGCCAUCAGGGUGCACACAGCAGGUGCAGUGCUGUCACCUGGCUGAAGACCUGCAGCCUCGGAGCCUCUGGGAGGUCCCUUUCUCCCUCGGUGAA